GCGGAUGUAGCCAAGG
rnacentral:tRNA from 1 species